rnacentral:rRNA from 1 species
UACGUAGGGGGCAAGCGUUGUCCGGAAUCAUUGGGCGUAAAGAGCGCGUAGGCGGCCCUGUAAGUCCGCUGUGAAAGUCAAGGGCUCAACCCUUGAAUGCCGGUGGAUACUGCAGGGCUAGAGUCCGGAAGAGGCGAGUGGAAUUCCUGGUGUAGCGGUGAAAUGCGCAGAUAUCAGGAGGAACACCCAUUGCGAAGGCAGCUCGCUGGGACGUUACUGACGCUGAGACGCGAAAGCGUGGGGAGCAAACAGG